UCCUCUUCUUCCUGUUGGAUCAUAACAACGAGACAUCUCAAACCCCUUCCCAUCACUCUUUCUAUUUUUUUUUUCUUCUCAUUAUAUAUAAAUCUUUUCCCCUGAUUAAUCUAUUUCUCCUGAUUAAAUACAAAAUAAUUCUCCAUAAAGACAAAACAAAACCGUAAUUGGGUUCGUCGUUAAUCCUCUGCCACGCGCCGAGCUCACAAUAUAAUGGAAAUCUUAUGAUCUACGAGAGAUACAGGAGGAGGAAGAUCAAUGCUAAUCACUAGUUUGUGCAAUAUCAUCGGAUUGUGGAACCAUCUUCUGGGUUUCGUUUCUGCUCGGAGUCAUCCCUGUCUUCAUAGCAUGGAUAUACUCAGAGUUUCUGGAGUACAAGAGGUCUUCAUUGCACUCUAAAGUGUUAUUGAGUUAGACUGUAGCAAAGCAAUACUCUGCUCGGCAAAGGAUACCUCCACCUCUUGAAACUGCAGAAAAACCCUUCAGACCGUAAUCUUUGACAGGUAUCUACUAGCUUUAGGAACAAAACUCAGAGAAGAAUCAAGCUUUGGUGAUCUUUGGUAAGUGUUGGUUAUAAUUUAUUCAUAUAAUAAAUUGCUUCAGAAUCUUCAUGGGAUUAUUUUUUUGGUAGGUGAUGAGUCUGUUGAAAAGAUAGAAGAGGAGAAAGAAGAAGAGGAGAAAGAGAAGG